rnacentral:rRNA from 1 species
UACGUAGGUGGCGAGCGUUAUCCGGAACUAUUGGGCGUAAAGGGUGCGUAGGCGGCCUGCUAAGUCUGGAGUGGAAGGUACCGGCUCAACCGGUACAGGCUCUGGAAACUGGCGGGCUAGAGAGCAGGAGAGGAGAAUGGAAUUCCUAGUGUAGCGGUGAAAUGCGUAGAGAUUAGGAAGAACACCAGUGGCGAAGGCGAUUCUCUGGACUGUAACUGACGCUGAGGCUCGAAAGCGUGGGGAGCAAACAGG